rnacentral:rRNA from 1 species
AGUGAACGCUGGCGGUAGGCCUAACACAUGCGAGUCGAACGGCAGCACAGUAAGAGCUUGCUCUUACGGGUGGCGAGUGGUGGACGGGUGAGGAAUACAUCGGAAUCUACUUUUUCGUGGGGGAUAACGUAGGGAAACUUACGCUAAUACCGCAUACGACCUACGGGUGAAAGCAGGGGAUCUUCGGACCUUGCGCGAUUGAAUGAGCCGAUGUCGGAUUAGCUAGUUGGCGGGGUAAAGGCCCACCAAGGCGACGAUCCGUAGCUGGUCUGAGAGGAUGAUCAGCCACACUGGAACUGAGACACGGUCCAGACUCCUACGGGAGGCAGCAGUGGGGAAUAUUGGACAAUGGGCGCAAGCCUGAUCCAGCCAUACCGCGUGGGUGAAGAAGGCCUUCGGGUUGUAAAGCCCUUUUGUUGGGAAAGAAAAGCAGCAGGUUAAUACCCCGCUGUUCUGACGGUACCCAAAGAAUAAGCACCGGCUAACUUCGUG